AAGAAGAAUAUAUAGAUACUAAUGCAAUGGAGCCUGGUGGACAGAAGCGGCUGUUGGAGGCUUUAAGUUUGCCACGGUUUACAAGGCCAGAGAUAAGAAUACCAACCAAAUUGUCACCAUUAAGAAAAUCAAACUUGGACAUAGAUCAGAAGCUAAAAAUGGUAUAAACAGAACAGCCUUAAGAGAGAUACAAUUAUUACAAGAGCUAAGUCAUCCAAAUAUAAUUGGUCUCCUUGAUGCUUUUGGAUGUAAGUCUAAUAUUAGCCUUGUCUUUGGUUUUAUGGAAACUGAUCUAGAGGUUAUAAUAAAGGAUAAUAGUCUUGUGCUGACACCGUCACACAUCAAAGCCUGCAUGUUGAUGACUCUUCAAGGAUUAGAAUAUUUACAUCAACAUUGGAUCCUACAUAGGGAUCUGAAACCAAGCAACUUGUUGCUAGAUGAAAAUGGAGUUCUAAAACUGGCAGAUUUUGGCCUGGCCAAAUCAUUUGGGAGCCCCAGUAGAGCUUAUACAUAUCAGGUUGCAACCAGGUGGUAUCAGGCCCCUGAGUUACUAUUUGGAGCUAGGAUGUAUGGUGUAGGUGUGGACAUGUGGGCUGUUGGCUGUAUAUUAGCAGAGUUACUUCUAAGGGUUCCUUUUUUGUCAGGAGAUUCAGAGCUUGAUCAGCUAACAAGAAUAUUUGGGCACACCAACUG
rnacentral:lncRNA from 1 species